AGGUGAUAUGAACCGUUAUAACCGGCGAUUUCCGAAUGGGGAAACCCAGUGUGUUUCGACACACUAUCAUUAACUGAAUCCAUAGGUUAAUGAGGCGAACCGGGGGAACUGAAACAUCUAAGUACCCCGAGGAAAAGAAAUCAACCGAGAUUCCCCCAGUAGCGGCGAGCGAACGGGGAGGAGCCCAGAGCCUGAAUCAGUGUGUGUGUUAGUGGAAGCGUCUGGAAAGGCGCGCGAUACAGGGUGACAGCCCCGUACACAAAAAUGCACAUAUUGUGAGCUCGAUGAGUAGGGCGGGACACGUGGUAUCCUGUCUGAAUAUGGGGGGACCAUCCUCCAAGGCUAAAUACUCCUGACUGACCGAUAGUGAACCAGUACCGUGAGGGAAAGGCGAAAAGAACCCCGGCGAGGGGAGUGAAAAAGAACCUGAAACCGUGUACGUACAAGCAGUGGGAGCCUCUUUAUGGGGUGACUGCGUACCUUUUGUAUAAUGGGUCAGCGACUUAUAUUCUGUAGCAAGGUUAACCGAAUAGGGGAGCCGAAGGGAAACCGAGUCUUAACUGGGCGUUAAGUUGCAGGGUAUAGACCCGAAACCCGGUGAUCUAGCCAUGGGCAGGUUGAAGGUUGGGUAACACUAACUGGAGGACCGAACCGACUAAUGUUGAAAAAUUAGCGGAUGACUUGUGGCUGGGGGUGAAAGGCCAAUCAAACCGGGAGAUAGCUGGUUCUCCCCGAAAGCUAUUUAGGUAGCGCCUCGUGAAUUCAUCUCCGGGGGUAGAGCACUGUUUCGGCAAGGGGGUCAUCCCGACUUACCAACCCGAUGCAAACUGCGAAUACCGGAGAAUGUUAUCACGGGAGACACACGGCGGGUGCUAACGUCCGUCGUGAAGAGGGAAACAACCCAGACCGCCAGCUAAGGUCCCAAAGUCAUGGUUAAGUGGGAAACGAUGUGGGAAGGCCCAGACAGCCAGGAUGUUGGCUUAGAAGCAGCCAUCAUUUAAAGAAAGCGUAAUAGCUCACUGGUCGAGUCGGCCUGCGCGGAAGAUGUAACGGGGCUAAACCAUGCACCGAAGCUGCGGCAGCGACACUAUGUGUUGUUGGGUAGGGGAGCGUUCUGUAAGCCUGUGAAGGUGGCCUGUGAGGGUUGCUGGAGGUAUCAGAAGUGCGAAUGCUGACAUAAGUAACGAUAAAGCGGGUGAAAAGCCCGCUCGCCGGAAGACCAAGGGUUCCUGUCCAACGUUAAUCGGGGCAGGGUGAGUCGACCCCUAAGGCGAGGCCGAAAGGCGUAGUCGAUGGGAAACAGGUUAAUAUUCCUGUACUUGGUGUUACUGCGAAGGGGGGACGGAGAAGGCUAUGUUGGCCGGGCGACGGUUGUCCCGGUUUAAGCGUGUAGGCUGGUUUUCCAGGCAAAUCCGGAAAACCAAGGCUGAGGCGUGAUGACGAGGCACUACGGUGCUGAAGCGACAAAUGCCCUGCUUCCAGGAAAAGCCUCUAAGCAUCAGGUAACAUCAAAUCGUACCCCAAACCGACACAGGUGGUCAGGUAGAGAAUACCAAGGCGCUUGAGAGAACUCGGGUGAAGGAACUAGGCAAAAUGGUGCCGUAACUUCGGGAGAAGGCACGCUGAUAUGUAGGUGAAGCGACUUGCUCGUGGAGCUGAAAUCAGUCGAAGAUACCAGCUGGCUGCAACUGUUUAUUAAAAACACAGCACUGUGCAAACACGAAA
rnacentral:rRNA from 1 species